rnacentral:ncRNA from 2 species
GGUUUAUGCUAGGGGUGCCAUGAGCUGAGAAAUGGUUAUUGAAACCAUUAACCCUCAUACCUGAUCUGGUUAGUACCAGCGUAGGGAAGCAAGAUAUGAACUUU